rnacentral:sRNA from 1 species
GAAUGCAGCGGACCGCACGGUGACAGU